rnacentral:rRNA from 1 species
UGAUCUAGAGGUGACAUUCAGUGCACGCAUAAUCUCUUUCUUUGAAGGCAAUGAAAAAGAGCGCACUCAAGAAAUUCUUGAACUUUUGCGAGAAGGAAAAGAAGUGUUGGUUGUUACAGAUGCAGGAAUGCCCACUAUCAGUGAUCCUGGUUUUCGCUUGAUGCGUGAUGCAAUUGCAGAAAAUAUUCCAACCCAUGUAAUUCCUGGGCCUAGCGCGCCAACCAUGGCCAUUGCACUCUCUGGAUUACCAACAGAUCGCUUUACCUUUGAAGGAUUUGCACCACGUGCGCAAGGCGCUCGUCAUACUUUCUAUGAAAAGUUACGAUUCGAAGAGCGCACCAUGGUGAUAUUUGAAGCACCUCAUCGCCUCCUCGAAUCUCUAGAAACCGCAGCAGAAAUAUUGGGAACUGAUCGCUGAGGCGCGAAAGCGUGGGGAGCAAACAGGAUUAGAUACCCUGGUAGUCCACGCCGUAAACGAUGAGCACUAGUUAUUGAAGGUAUUGACUCCUUCGGUGACGCAGCUAACGCAUUAAGUGCUCCGCCUGGGGAGUACGGUCGCAAGACUAAAACUCAAACAAAUUGACGGGGGCCCGCACAAGCGGUGGAUUAUGUGGUUUAAUUCGAAGCAACACGCAGAACCUUACCUGGGCUUGAACUCCUCCGAAUCCGGGGUAAUGCCUGGAGUGUCCGCAAGGAAAUGGAGAGAGAGGUGCUGCAUGGCUGUCGUCAGCUCGUGUUGUGAAAUGUUGGGUUAAGUCUCGCAACGAGCGCAACCCCUAUCGUCUGUUGCCAGCAUUAAGUUGGGCACUCUGACGAGACUGCCUGGGUUAACCAGGAGGAAGGUGGGGAUGACGUCAAGUCCUCAUGGCCCUUAUGUCCAGGGCUACACACGUAAUACAAUGGCGCGUACAGAGGGAUGCGAACUCGCAAGGGGGAGCAAAUCUCAAAAAGCGCGCCUCAGUUCGGAUUGAAGUCUGCAACUCGACUUCAUGAAGUUGGAAUCGCUAGUAAUCGGAGAUCAGCACGCUCCGGUGAAUACGUUCCCGGGCCUUGUACACACCGCCCGUCACACCAUGGGAGUUGUUUUCAUUUUAAGACGUGACUCUAACCGCAAGGAGGGCGAUUACCACGG